GACGAACGCUGGCGGCGUGCCUAAUACAUGCAAGUCGAACGCAGUGGGGACGGGUGAGUAACACGUGGGUAACCUCCCAUCAGAGGGGAUAACACUUGGAAACAGGUGCUAAACCGCUACUGAUGGAUGGACCCGCGGUGCAUUAGCUGGUUGGUGAGGUAACGGCUCAACAAGGCCACGAUGCAUAGCCGCACUGGAGGGGUGAUCGGCCACACUGAGACUGAGACAAGGCCCGGACUCCUACGGGAGGCAGCGGUAGGGAAUCUGCGGCAAUGGACGAAAGUCUGACCGAGCAAUGGCGCGUGAGUGAAGAAGGUUUUCGGAUCGUGAAACUCUGUUGUUAGGGAAGCGGUAUCUAACCAGAAAGCCACGGCUAACUCCGGGCCAGCAGCCGCGGUAAUAC
rnacentral:rRNA from 1 species